CCAUAUAAGAUUAAACCGUGACCAAAUUUACACAACCAUUAGCAUUAUAAUUAAGCUGUUAUAUCAAAAGCAUAUAAACUAAGCUUAACCAAAAGAAAUAAGCCAUUUUUACAUGGCUUAUAUUUACAUAUCCCAAAUCAAACGUUAUAACUAGACUAUACAUGCCAUAAGUUCAAAUUCAAAUUUAACAAAAUAUCAAAAAGAGUCGAUAGUGUGAUAAACUUCUCUAACGAUCCUUGAGCUCGUAACCAACUCCCGAAAUCUAUAAAACAAAGAAACGUAAACACACCAAGUAAGCUUUUAUGGCUUAGUAAGUCUUUAAGAAAUUAAAUGAUUUAAUAAUAAUAAUAAUCAAUUUAUUAAUAAUAUAUAAUUUAGCUAAGCACAUUAACCUUACCAAACUUCAACUCAAACUAUUAAAACUCAUAGUUAAAAGAUUCCUUACCCAAACACCACUAGGUCGAAUACUCACCUAGUUAUUUUAGCAUUUUAUUAUUCCAAGUCUAAUCUAAUUAAUCAUAAAAUCCAUACAUACAUUUAAUUGUAUACUUAAGUCCAAGAUUCAUAGUAUAAUGUCUCACAUAUACAUAUAGUCUACAUGGCUGAAUACAUUAAAUCAUGUAUGCACAUAUUUAUAAAACAUCUCAAUGAUAUACCAAUUGUUCAUUGACAACCGAAUAUAUAUAUAUAUAUAUAUAUAUAUAUUUCAUGAUCAAAGUACUUAUUUUGUAAUAGAUAUCGAAUCACAUACGUACUCACAGGUUAAUUCAUACCUGGCCUUCUGGCUCAUUUUACAUAUUCGAUAUCACAUCGGCAUAAAGCCUUCUAGGCAUAAAGCCUUCUAGGCAUAAAGCCUGUAAUAAUGCACUGGCAUAAAACUUGCUAGGCUCAAACCUGAUAAAAACUCAUCGGCACAAGGCCUGCUAGGCACAAAGCCCGAUAAUCACUGAUACAUAGUUUAUUCUAUCACAUAUUUCAUAUAUCGAAGUUCAUAAUUUUUCCAUGAUAUUCAUAUUUAUUUUUUUUUAUAUAUGUCAAAACACAAUUUAAAACAUUAGCUAAAACAUAGUUAUCAAAUCAUUUCAUAUUCAGUAAUAGCUCAAAUAUUUUCAUAUAUUUCAUUUAAGCACAUAUACUUCUCAUUUAAUUAAUUUAAGUACAUCUAUUAACUUAUAGACUUACUUCGGCGAUGUAAAACGGAACGGAACGACUAGUCAACGACUUUAGUUUUUCCCCGAUUCAAAUCCGAAUUUCUCUUUUCUUGAUCUAAACAUAUUCAAAUUAAACUCAUUCAAACAUAUUUUCACUCAAUUUAGUCCAAAAACACAUAAAUGGGCAAAUUACCAUUUUACCCCUAACAUUUACACUUUUCACAAUUUAGUCCAAAUUACACAAAACACAAAACAUUCAAAUUUUGACUAGACUAUGCUUAGGUCGAAUCUUUAUUAUACUCAUAAAAGUCCAUGCAUUUCAUUUAUUUUGCAUUUUAGUCCUCCAAAAUUUUAUUUUCACAAUUUAACCCUAAUUACUCAAAUUCAUCAAAAAUCCCAAGAUAAAACAUGUUAAUCUUUCACCUAUUUUUCAUUAUUCAUCAUCAUACAUCACAAAACACAAAUAUUAAUCGAUGGCAUAACUCAAAAUAUUCAUUAAAAUAAAAAAUUUAAGCAUGGGUCGGAUAGUGUUCAAAGCAACGAUCUCAAAAACGUAGACAUUAUCAAAAACCGAACAAAAACUAACCUUGAUUCAAGCUCCAACAAUGGCCGAAUGUUUUAAGCUUUCAAACCCUCUUUUUCU
rnacentral:lncRNA from 1 species